AUUGAUUGGUGCUUGCAUCAUGAUUUACAUUUGAGUGAGUGGCGAACUGGUGAGUAACACGUGGGAAACCUGCCCAGAAGCGGGGGAUAACACCUGGAAACAGAUGCUAAUACCGCAUAACAACUUGGACCGCAUGGUCCGAGUUUGAAAGAUGGCUUCGGCUAUCACUUUUGGAUGGUCCCGCGGCGUAUUAGCUAGAUGGUGGGGUAACGGCUCACCAUGGCAAUGAUACGUAGCCGACCUGAGAGGGUAAUCGGCCACAUUGGGACUGAGACACGGCCCAAACUCCUACGGGAGGCAGCAGUAGGGAAUCUUCCACAAUGGACGAAAGUCUGAUGGAGCAACGCCGCGUGAGUGAAGAAGGGUUUCGGCUCGUAAAACUCUGUUGUUAAAGAAGAACAUAUCUGAGAGUAACUGUUCAGGUAUUGACGGUAUUUAACCAGAAAGCCACGGCUAACUACGUGCCAGCAGCCGCGGUAAUACGUAGGUGGCAAGCGUUGUCCGGAUUUAUUGGGCGUAAAGCGAGCGCAGGCGGUUUUUUAAGUCUGAUGUGAAAGCCUUCGGCUCAACCGAAGAAGUGCAUCGGAAACUGGGAAACUUGAGUGCAGAAGAGGACAGUGGAACUCCAUGUGUAGCGGUGAAAUGCGUAGAUAUAUGGAAGAACACCAGUGGCGAAGGCGGCUGUCUGGUCUGUAACUGACGCUGAGGCUCGAAAGUAUGGGUAGCAAACAGGAUUAGAUACCCUGGUAGUCCAUACCGUAAACGAUGAAUGCUAAGUGUUGGAGGGUUUCCGCCCUUCAGUGCUGCAGCUAACGCAUUAAGCAUUCCGCCUGGGGAGUACGGCCGCAAGGCUGAAACUCAAAGGAAUUGACGGGGGCCCGCACAAGCGGUGGAGCAUGUGGUUUAAUUCGAAGCUACGCGAAGAACCUUACCAGGUCUUGACAUACUAUGCAAAUCUAAGAGAUUAGACGUUCCCUUCGGGGACAUGGAUACAGGUGGUGCAUGGUUGUCGUCAGCUCGUGUCGUGAGAUGUUGGGUUAAGUCCCGCAACGAGCGCAACCCUUAUUAUCAGUUGCCAGCAUUAAGUUGGGCACUCUGGUGAGACUGCCGGUGACAAACCGGAGGAAGGUGGGGAUGACGUCAAAUCAUCAUGCCCCUUAUGACCUGGGCUACACACGUGCUACAAUGGAUGGUACAACGAGUUGCGAACUCGCGAGAGUAAGCUAAUCUCUUAAAGCCAUUCUCAGUUCGGAUUGUAGGCUGCAACUCGCCUACAUGAAGUCGGAAUCGCUAGUAAUCGCGGAUCAGCAUGCCGCGGUGAAUACGUUCCCGGGCCUUGUACACACCGCCCGUCACACCAUGAGAGUUUGUAACACCCAAAGUCGGUGG
rnacentral:rRNA from 2 species